CUGAUCCUACGGGGGGCAGCAGUGAGGAAUAUUGGUCAAUGGCCGAGAGGCUGAACCAGCCAAGUCGCGUGAGGGAUGACGGCCCUACGGGUUGUAAACCUCUUUUGUCGGGGAGCAAAGAGAGUCACGUGUGACUCAUUGAGAGUACCCGAAGAAAAAGCAUCGGCUAACUCCGUGCCAGCAACCGCGGUAAUACGGAGGAUGCGAGCGUUAUCCGGAUUUAUUGGGAUUAAAGGGUGCGCAGGCGGAAGCGCAAGUCAGCGGUAAAAUUGAGAGGCUCAACCUCUUCCCGCCGUUGAAACUGC
rnacentral:rRNA from 1 species